CUCCCAGCUCAGCAUCUUAUUCAGCGUUCUUGGAGACGUCAGAACCCCGUAGGGAACUUGAAGAUUCACAGCAUUCCUGACCUGGGAGCAUUCUACAAAACACCUGGGACUCCAAAUCAGAUCACCGAGUUGCUGCAAACUGGCAAGACUUCUUUGAGAUCGCUCUCAGUCUCAGGACCACGAAACAGGAAGGCAUCACACAGUACCAGAGACUUGAGGCAGUUCAAUGUAUAGACAAAAAGCACCAUUGUUAAAAGGGACUUUCCACCUAGCACUAUGGAACUUUGCACCGGCUCGGGAGGAUGCUCGCGGCCUCAUUAAAAUUUCUCAUGCAGACUAUUUGGGCUAGUCGCCUUCGAUUAGAGUGCUUUUUGGACAGAGUGGGCACUCCGGGGAGAGCUAUCCGGUGCUGGCACUUGUUUGGAAAUUUGGUUACAGGCAGCCACUUUAUAAUGUAAAAAUGAUAUUCGGUGCCAAUGUGUCUGGCCACUAAUAAACUUAUCUGGUCAGGUACAGCCACCUAGGUGCAAUAUCAAUUGUUCUCCUGGUGACCCGCUGUUGGGGACCCAGCUAUACAACAGUUCUACUUCACCCUAACAUUAAGCCUCAACUAAUCAUUAGGGAUACGCUAUAAUCACUCGGCAUAUAAUCACUAAUGAGGGAAAGGGAGUCCUUGGCUGCGACUCUGGGGUCCCUAGCAAAUAGGUCACCACAAGUCAAAUUAGAGAUUUGUUUCAAUUCCCAAACCAUGAACCACAAUGUAGCUGAAUCCUCAACAAAUGAAGCACUCAAUGGACUUGUAUGUUUGUUUUGAUUCAUGGUUCAGAAUUAAGGCAUCAAAAAAGAGAUGAAUUAU